UACGGAGGGUGCAAGCGUUAAUCGGAAUUACUGGGCGUAAAGCGCGCGUAGGCGGUUUUUUAAGUCGGAUGUGAAAGCUCCGGGCUCAACCUGGGAACUGCAUCCGAUACUGGAAGACUAGAAUGCGGGAGAGGGAGGUAGAAUUCCAUGUGUAGCAGUGAAAUGCGUAGAUAUAUGGAGGAAUACCAGUGGCGAAGGCGGCCUCCUGGCUCGACAUUGACGCUGAGGUGCGAAAGCGUGGGGAGCAAACGGG
rnacentral:rRNA from 1 species